rnacentral:rRNA from 1 species
UACAGAGGGUGCAAGCGUUGUUCGGAAUUAUUGGGCGUAAAGGGCGCGUAGGCGGUGCGGUAAGUCUGUAGUGAAAUCUCUGGGCUCAACUCAGAGUCUGCUGCAGAAACUGCCGUGCUUGAGUGUGGGAGAGGUGAGUGGAAUUCCCAGUGUAGAGGUGAAAUUCGUAGAUAUUGGGAAGAACACCGGUGGCGAAGGCGGCUCACUGGCUCAUUUCUGACGCUCAUGCACGACAGCGUGGGGAUCAAACAGG